CGCCCCCCACACCCCCCGGGGCCCGCGCGCCCACAUCUGAGGAGCUAUGCGUGACCACCGGGCUGAGGGCCGCCCCUUCGGGGGCAGAACACUCUCUGUCCUCAGGGGCCUUGCCAGGGCUGGGAUCCCUGGGGACCCGGGGAGCUGCCCUUGGGGCCCUCCCUUGGUGUCUCUCCUGGCUGGGGAAAGGGUGACUCCUAAGAACCAUGGAAAUAAGGUUUGCCCCGCGCCCACAUCUGAGGAGCUAUGCGUGACCACCGGGCUGAGGGCCGCCCCUUCGGGGGCAGAACACUCUCUGUCCUCAGGGGCCUUGCCAGGGCUGGGAUCCCUGGGGACCCGGGGAGCUGCCCUUGGGGCCCUCCCUUGGUGUCUCUCCUGGCUGGGGAAAGGGUGACUCCUAAGAACCAUGGAAAUAAGGACACUGGCCAACUCUCAGGGACAAAGAGUCUGAAGGAGAGGAGGUCGGAGGAGUUGGGGAAGGUGAGGGUGGCAGGGCCGGGGACUUGUGAGUGGGGGGACCCCCUGCCUCCCACCUGCCGCUCUGCACCCCCAGGCCUGGGCCAGAGAAGGAGCUGUGUCCGGAGCCCCGAGCCUCCACCUUGCCCUCCUCGGCAGCGUCCGGGGUCCCCUGUCCCCGAGGCAAGCGUGGGUGUCCACCCCACGACCCUGCUGGCCUCGGGCCCCUGGAGCCUGGGGCCUGGCUGACGCUCCCGGGGCCCAGGAGCUCUGUCUGCACCCAGGGCCAGGCUUCCUCGGAGUCAGGGGGUCCCUGAGACUGCGGAGCAGAGCCUGGGGCUGCUGGGAGGCCUCCGUCCCCGCGCCCCGUGGCUGCCGCCCCCCCCAGGGGCCCGGUGUGAGUGGCAGGAGCAGGGGGCACCUGCGGGGGAAGAGCAGGCCCCAGGGAGCCGGCAGCAUCCACUGCGUCCCACACGCUCAGCACAGCGCCCUGCCGAGCAGGGUGCACCUUGGGGAAAUAGAGGUCUCUGUCCCCCAAGCCCUGGUCGGGCAACCACCGCCGGCGGCUGCGGCCCCUCUCCAGGGAGCCAGGCAGCCCCGUACCUUGUCGCGGGGGGUUGGGGUCCUGUUCUGCGGUGUGGGCUGUGGCCUGGCCGGUUGGCACCUUGGCUGGGACGCCACCUGCCCCUACUUGCCCUUCCGUCCUCCUGCCGGGGCUCCGAGGGGUGAAGUGUAUCAGGAGGGGGCCAGAGGCCCCCCCUCCGCUGCUCCUACCCUGGAGGGCAGCACCCGGCCUGAGAGGCUCCCUUCCUUUACCUCGGGGGGCUUCUCGAGGGGCGUUACCUUGCUGCUGUCCUGAGGCCCCUCCGCGGGUCACCUCGCCAGGUGUCUGGAGUGGAGGUGCUGCUGUGGCGACCAGACCCCCCCCUUCCCGCAGUGUCUGGUCCCAGGCCCCGGCUGCAGGCGGCCUCCCCUGGCUGCAUCCUGGCGGCUCCGACUCCCCCUGCCCCGAGCCGCGGCCGUCGCCGACCUGGGACAUCAGGGGCAGGACUGGCCCUGGCCUUCCAGGCUGAGGCUGGGCUGCGGGGGUCGUGGGUGCGGGUCCUGGAGCUUCCCGCUCCCGCCCAGAGCCAAACCAGUGCAGGGCGAGUGCGGUGGCCGCCACCACGGCCAGUGCCAGCAGCAUGAGCGCAGGCCCGUCCCAGUCAUCCUCCGUGUCCCAGCCCCAGCCCAGCCCGGACCCCGGGGC
rnacentral:lncRNA from 1 species